CUCUUUUCAAAUUCUACACAGAGAACACUAUACUUGAUUGUGAUUGAUAUAUUCUAUUUAUUCUUAUUCUGGAAACCAUUCCUUAUAUUCAGAUUCCAGUAUGUGAAGUAUAGUAUAGAAUACAGUAACUUUAUAGAGGAGCACUGCUCAGCCCUUGUAUUAUAUACACGGGUGUUUAUUCAGGAUUACUAUAAUAAACCAAUAGAACCCAACUCAAGUGUUUAUUACGCCCAACUUGAUGAGUCUACAAAUGGCGCCCAACGUGAUUUUGGUAAUGGUAAUCCAUUGAGCUAGUGUACCCAUACAGAACCUCUCGGUGGUGAUACUUGCGCAUGUGUGAAUUGUGAAACCGGAACAUCCUAGAUAUUGACAUCAACAGAAAACAAUGUGGUUUUUGUGAAUGAAGAUUAAAUUUUCAAUUAUUUUAACCUGAAACGGUGACUAUAAUGUAUCCAAGCUUAUUAAUAUGGUGAGAAUAUACACUUGGGUAAUGAAUUGAAGUAUUGUCAUAAAAAUUACAUGAUUUAUUUAUGAAAUACAUGUGUUGAAAAACUUAGAAAACAAAUCCAGAAAAUUUAUUUUGGUUUUUGUUAUUGAACAUUGGGUAUUGUGUCAUUAUAUUUUGAAUUUCUUGUGUUUAUUCCAUUUUGACAUUGUCAUUUUGCAUAAACAUUUGAAUUUCUGAGAUAAGCUAGCUAGCAGUACAUUAUUUAUGUGUUGACUCUUUGUUUAUUUGUGUGUAUUUGUACUUUGUAAAUUUUGUGUUUAUAUUGUACUUCAACUUACUGGAUGUACAGUUUACAUUUAUGUUGACAUGUACAUAUACCACAGUUGAUUAUUGUGCACAUUUACAUUAAACCGGUUACAUGUAUAAGGUUUAUUUACUUGAUCAAGUGUGUAUAUAAAAUAUUUGGUAUAAUAUUUUUGUGAAUUUGAAAGUAGGUCAUUAGUAUAAUCUUGACCUUUAUUGAUACUUGGUAUUGAGUACAUGUGUACUUGUUUACUUUGUAUUUAUUAUAUAUUAGUUGGUAUAUAAUAGCAUUUGACAUUGAUUUGAGUUAUGCUACACAUUAUUAUUUGUGAUUAGUGUAGUUAGGGUAUACAUUUUUUUUUAUU